ACUAUGCCAAGUUGUAAACUUUAACUUACACCCCAUCGCCAGGGAACUACGAGCCAAGCUUAAAACCCAAAGGACUUGACGGUGCCCCACAUCCUCCUAGAGGAGCCUGUCCUAUAAUUGAUACCCCCCGCUAAACCUCACCAUUCUUAGCUUAUUAGCUUGUAUACUUCCGUCGUCAGCUAGCCACAUGAGUGAAACUCAGCAAGCUUAAUGUCUUACACCAAAACGUCAGGUCAAAGUGCAGCAAAUAGAAUGGGAACAGAUGGGCUACACUUUCUAACUUAGAAAAUACGAAAGACUAUGUGAAAUCUAGUCAGAAGGCGGAUUUAAAAGUAAGAAAAAAUCAUAGAGUUUUUCUUAACCCGGUACUGGGGCAUGUACACACC
rnacentral:rRNA from 1 species